GCUGUAGGAGAGCAGAGGGUGGCUGGGGCAGGGGUGGUAGGGCAGUAGGAGGGCAGAGGAUGGCUGGGGAAGGGGUGGUAGGGUGGCUGGUGCAGGGGUGGUGGGGCAGUAGGAGGGCAGAGGGUGGCUGGGGCAGGGGUGGUAGGGUGGCUGGGGCAGGGGUGGUAGGGCAGUAGGAGGGCAGAGGGUGGCUGGGGCAUGGGUGGUAGGGGGGCUAUGACAGGGCAAUG